GCCGGGCAUGGUGGCUCAUACCUGUAAUCCCAGCACUUUGGGAGGCUGAGGCAGGUGGCUCACCUGAGGUCAGGAGUUCAAGACCAGCCUGGCCAACAUGGUGAAACCCUGUCUCUA
ensembl:misc_RNA Metazoa_SRP Metazoan signal recognition particle RNA